rnacentral:tRNA from 1 species
GGAGUUGUGCCUGAAUUAAAGGGCCACUUUGAUAGAGUGAACCAUGAAGGUUAAAAUCCUUCCAACUCCU